UGUGGGAGCUGGCUUGCCUGCGAUGGCGGCGGUCAAGACAGCCAUGCGGUGACUGACAAAUCGCUAUCGCAGGCAAGCCAGCUCCCACA
rnacentral:misc_RNA from 1 species